UACGUAGGGUGCAAGCGUUGUCCGGAAUUAUUGGGCGUAAAGAGCUCGUAGGCGGUCUGUUGCGUCGGCUGUGAAAACCCGGGGCUCAACUCCGGGCCUGCAGCCGAUACGGGCAGACUAGAGUUCGGCAGGGGAGACUGGAAUUCCUGGUGUAGCGGUGAAAUGCGCAGAUAUCAGGAGGAACACCGGUGGCGAAGGCGGGUCUCUGGCGCGAUACUGACGCUGAGGAGCGAAAGCGUGGGGAGCGAACAGG
rnacentral:rRNA from 1 species